rnacentral:rRNA from 1 species
AUUGAACGCUGGCGGCAGGCCUAACACAUGCAAGUCGAGCGGAUGAAGGGAGCUUGCUCCUGGAUUCAGCGGCGGACGGGUGAGUAAUGCCUAGGAAUCUGCCUGGUAGUGGGGGAUAACGUCCGGAAACGGGCGCUAAUACCGUAUACGUCCUGAGGGAGAAAGUGGGGGAUCUUCGGACCUCACGCUAUCAGAUGAGCCUAGGUCGGAUUAGCUAGUUGGUGGGGUAAAGGCCUACCAAGGCGACGAUCCGUAACUGGUCUGAGAGGAUGAUCAGUCACACUGGAACUGAGACACGGUCCAGACUCCUACGGGAGGCAGCAGUGGGGAAUAUUAGACAAUGGGCGAAAGCCUGAUCCAGCCAUGCCGCGUGUGUGAAGAAGGUCUUCAGAUUGUAAAGCACUUUAAGUUGGGAGGAAGGGCAGUAAGUUAAUACCUUGCUGUUUUGACGUUACCAACAGAAUAAGCACCGGCUAACUUCGUG